GAUGAACGCUGGCGGCGUGCCUAAUACAUGCAAGUCGAGCGAACAGACGAGGAGCUUGCUCCUCUGACGUUAGCGGCGGACGGGUGAGUAACACGUGGAUAACCUACCUAUAAGACUGGGAUAACUUCGGGAAACCGGAGCUAAUACCGGAUAAUAUAUUGAACCGCAUGGUUCAAUAGUGAAAGACGGUUUUGCUGUCACUUAUAGAUGGAUCCGCGCCGCAUUAGCUAGUUGGUAAGGUAACGGCUUACCAAGGCAACGAUGCGUAGCCGACCUGAGAGGGUGAUCGGCCACACUGGAACUGAGCCACGGUCCAGACUCCUACGGGAGGCAGCAGUAGGGAAUCUUCCGCAAUGGGCGAACGCCUGACGGAGCAACGCCGCGUGAGUGAUGAAGGUCUUCGGAUCGUAAAACUCUGUUAUUAGGGAAGAACAAAUGUGUAAGUAACUAUGCACGUCUUGACGGUACCUGAUCAGAAAGCCACGGCUAACUACGUG
rnacentral:rRNA from 1 species